AUUGAACGCUGGCGGCAGGCUUAACACAUGCAAGUCGAACGAGUGGCGGACGGGUGAGUAAUGCUUGGGAAUCUGGCUUAUGGAGGGGGAUAACUACGGGAAACUGGAGCUAAUACCGCGUACCAUAGGAUGAGCCCAAGUGGGAUUAGGUAGUUGGUGAGGUAAAGGCUCACCAAGCCGACGAUCUCUAGCUGGUCUGAGAGGAUGACCAGCCCAACGGGGACGUAGACCCGGGCCGAGCUCCCACGGGGGGCAGCCAGUGGGAAUAUUGGGGAAUGGGGGCAACCUGACGCAGCCAUGCCGCGUGAAUGAAGAAGGCCUUCGGGUUGUAAAGUUCUUUCGGUAGCGAGGCGUUAACUACAGAAGAAGCACCGGCUAACUCCGUGCCAGCAGCCGCGGUAAUUC
rnacentral:rRNA from 1 species